AGUGAACGCUGGCGGUAGGCCUAACACAUGCAAGUCGAACGGCAGCACAGUAAGAGCUUGCUCUUACGGGUGGCGAGUGGCGGACGGGUGAGGAAUACAUCGGAAUCUACUUUUUCGUGGGGGAUAACGUAGGGAAACUUACGCUAAUACCGCAUACGACCUACGGGUGAAAGCAGGGGAUCUUCGGACCUUGCGCGAUUGAAUGAGCCGAUGUCGGAUUAGCUAGUUGGCGGGGUAAAGGCCCACCAAGGCGAUGAUCCGUAGCUGGUCUGAGAGGAUGAUCAGCCACACUGGAACUGAGACACGGUCCAGACUCCUACGGGAGGCAGCAGUGGGGAAUAUUGGACAAUGGGCGCAAGCCUGAUCCAGCCAUACCGCGUGGGUGAAGAAGGCCUUCGGGUUGUAAAGCCCUUUUGUUGGGAAAGAAAAGCAGCAGGUUAAUACCCCGCUGUUUUGACGGUACCCAAAGAAUAAGCACCGGCUAACUUCGUG
rnacentral:rRNA from 1 species